rnacentral:rRNA from 1 species
AUAAACCGGUUUCGGCCGCUCUAUUUGUGGCGAACGGGUGAGUAUCAGGUGGGCAAUCUGGCCUGCACUCUGGGAUGAGCCUGGGAAACUGGAUCUUAUACCGGAUACCACACUCCAAGGCAUCUUGGAGUGUGGUAAGUUCCGGCGCUGCCGGAUGAGCCUGCGGCCUAUUAGCUUGUUGGUGGGGUAAUGGCCUACCAAGGCGACGACGGGUAGCCGGCCUGAGAGGGUGACCAGCCACACUGGGACUGAAACACAGACCAGACUCCUACGGGAGGCAGCAGUGGGGAAUAUUGAACAAUGGGCGAAAGCCUGAUGCAGCUACGCCGCGUGAGGGAUGACGGCCUUCGGGUUGUAAACCUCUUUCAGUUGGGAAGAAGCGAAAGUGACGGUACCUGCGAAAUAAUUACCGUCUCACUACGUGCCGACCGCCCCGGUAAUACGUACGGUGCGACCGUUGUCCGGAAUUAUUGGGCGUAAAGAGCUCUUAGGCUGAUUGUCGCGUCGACUGUGAAAGCCCGGGGCUUAACCCUGUGUCUGCAGUCCAUACCUGCACGCUAGAACUCGACAGGGGACACUGCAAUUCCUGGUGUAGCGAUGAAAUGCGCAGAUCUCAGUGAGGAACUGCGGUGGCUAAAGAUGAUCUCUGGGACCAUAGUGACACUCAGGAACGAAAACGUGCGCAGCGAACAAGAUUCGAUACCCUGGUAGUCAACGCCGUAUACAGUGGGCGCUAGGCGUGGGCAACAUUCCUCCUUGUCGGAGACUGCAGCUCACUUUUUAAGUGCCCCUCCUGGCUUAGUACGGUCCGCUACUGCUACAUGUCGAGUGAAUUGAC